GGAAGAACCUCAAGGAUGCAGUCUGGACCACCUGCUCUCCUGUGCGCAGUCGUGGCCCUCAUCUGCCUCGGUUCCAACAAUGUUGAGAGCGCCGAUGUACCUACAGUGUAUAAAAAGGAGGGGGAAUCUGUGACCGUGGAAUGCAAGUUCUCAGUCAGCUAUACUUACUAUAUGAUGUACUGGUAUCGACAGCCUUCCAGCGGAGAGAUGAUUUACAUGGUUAAUAUUUAUUCUCAAAGCAAGCACGCAAGGGAAGGACGAUACUCCGUGGAAUUUUACAAACCCAACCAAAUGCUGAAACUCACCAUCUCAGCCUUGACACUGAGUGACUCGGCCACCUAUUUCUGUGCUGUUAGAGAGUUCCACGGUGAGGGUAGUGACAGGAAGCGCCUUACAAAAACCCCCAGGGCUCGGCACGAGACAGCCACCUGCUCCAGGAGAAGACAACCCACAGAACAGGAAGAGGGAAGACACAGGCAUGAUGGGUGGUUCUGCUGGAUCUAGAGAGAAGCUAAUGAAUGUUCUCAAACCAAUCUUCCCACAUUUGGUGUAAAAGAAAGAGUCGUGGUUACAAGACCCCAGCCUCCAGAGCAUUUUCAUCUCUGUGUCUGGUGUCUAAGUACAGCCCAUCAAGGUAUGCCGCUGUCAUUUCUGCUUGCCCAACAUCCACACCCCUUUUCUGGUGACAGCACCUUGAUCUUCUCUGGAUAAACAA